GAUGAACGCUGGCGGCGUGCCUAACACAUGCAAGUCGAGCGAACGGACGAGAAGCUUGUGUCUCUGAUGUUGGCGGCGGACGGGUGAGUAACACGUGGAUAGCAUACCUAUAAGACUGGGAUAAUAUCGGGAAACCGGAGCUAAUACCGGAUAAUAUUUUGAACCGGAUUGUGCAAAGGUGAAAGUCGGUCUUGGUGUCACUAAUAGCUGGAUCCGGGCUGGAUUAGCUAGUUGGUAAGGUAACGGCUUAGCAAGGCAACGAUGCGUAGCCGACCUGAGAGGGUGGUCGGCCACACGGGAACUGAGACACGGUCCAGACUCCUACGGGAGGCAGCAGUAGGGAAUCUUCCGCAAUGGGCGAAAGCCUGACAGAGCAACACCGCGUGAGUGAUGAAGGUCUUCGGAUCGUAAAGCUCUGUUAUUAGGAAAGAACAUAUGUGUAUUUAACCGUGGACAUCUUGACGGUACCUAAUGAAAAAGCCACGGCUAACUACGUG
rnacentral:rRNA from 1 species